AUCCAGAUGACGAGUCCCAAAUAGGGUGAAACGUGUGUUCUGGAU
rnacentral:hammerhead_ribozyme from 1 species